rnacentral:rRNA from 1 species
GCGUGAGUGAUGAAGGCCUUAGGGUCGUAAAGCUCUUUCGCCUGUGAAGAUAAUGACGGUAGCAGGUAAAGAAACCCCGGCUAACUCCGUGCCAGCAGCCGCGGUAAUACGGAGGGGGUUAGCGUUGUUCGGAAUUACUGGGCGUAAAGCGCGCGUAGGCGGACUGGAAAGUUGGGGGUGAAAUCCCGGGGCUCAACCCCGGAACGGCCUCCAAAACUAUCAGUCUAGAGUUCGAGAGAGGUGAGUGGAAUUCCGAGUGUAGAGGUGAAAUUCGU